UUUUGAUAUUGUACAACUAUGAGCAAAAAUGUGCAACCGAGUAUAACUAUACAACUAUGAGCAAAUUUGUGA
rnacentral:sRNA from 1 species